UACGUAGGGUCCGAGCGUUGUCCGGAAUUACUGGGCGUAAAGAGCUCGUAGGUGGUUUGUCGCGUUGUUCGUGAAAACUCACAGCUUAACUGUGGGCGUGCGGGCGAUACGGGCAGACUUGAGUACUGCAGGGGAGACUGGAAUUCCUGGUGUAGCGGUGGAAUGCGCAGAUAUCGGGUGGAACACCAGUGGCGAAGGCGGUGUUCUGGGCCGGAACUGACGCUGAGGAGCGAAAGCGUGGGUAGCAAACAGG
rnacentral:rRNA from 1 species